rnacentral:tRNA from 1 species
GCUGGUAUGGCUCAGUUGGCAGAGCAGCUGAUUCGUAAUCAGCAGGUCAGCGGUUCGAAUCCGCUUACCAGCU